AACGCACAUGGCGCCGGGCGCGAGCCGGGCAUACCUGUCUGAGGGUUGCGAUAUUUUGGGUGAUACUGAGUUGGUGGUCAGAGCGGCGGUCGACCGGUGGUCGGCGCGCAGUGUCCACUCAAAAAGAGCCGCGGGGAGCCGCCACAGCGUGACAGCAAGACUCGUCUUGACUCGCGACGGCGUGCAAGCCGCGAAUACCGGCAGUGCGCGGGGUAGCACCCGCACACUACCAGUAUCCACCAGUAGCCUCAGGUCAGGCAGGACUACCCGCUGAACUUAA
rnacentral:misc_RNA from 1 species